rnacentral:lncRNA from 1 species
CUGGACUCCUGCUGCAGACAGGGAGCAGAGCACCGCACCUUGAAAUACGGAGAAAAACCUGAAAACGCUAAGAGGUGGAGUGACAACUUGCAUUCAGCUGUUUCAGAAACAUUGUUGACCACCUACUCAAUGUGAAGAUGACGAAGAUGAAAGCCUUUAUGAUGAUCUACUUCCACUUAAUAAAUGGACUAUUUUUCUUUCCUGCCCCAUACCAAUAAGAAACAAGGAUGCAACAACAACAAUGACAACAGACCUAAGUGGAAUCUUGGAAGCAUGCUUGCAAAGCUCAUGCUUCCCCCUGCAUAAGCUAGCUAAGACAAGGCACGGGGUAGGAGGAAAAGAGACAAGAUUGUGACUCAAAAGUGUAGAUGGAGGAUUCACCAGGACAGACCCAGGAAGGUGGGAUCCUCACCAUGCUAGAAAAAGAACAUCCAUCUCAAGGGAAACCAGCUGCCAUGCAUGAGGAUACUCCAGCAGCUUAUGGAGAAGUCCAUGUGGUGAGGAACUGGGGUCGGUCCACAACCACCUGAGUGAACCUGAAAGUGGAUCUUCCCCUCACUCAAGCAUUGAGUUGACUGCUGGCCCAACCAACAGUUUGUCUGCAACUUCAUGAGAGACCCUGACUCAGAAGCACUCAAUUAACUCAUGAAAACGACUCCAAUAUGAAUGGUGAAUGUAAUUUAAUGUGUCAUGGAAAUGCAGAGCUGUAGAACUGAUUAUUUUUCCCAGUAUAAAUGGAAGAGCUCUAAUCUACAAGUGGAGGUGAAGCAUCCCCAGUGGCCAGGAGGACAACCUUGCCCAGUGACCUUUCCUAGAAGAAGGUAUCGAAGUGCUAAGAUGAGGAUUUCCACAAAUUUCUGCUCAGGCAACACCACCCAUCAUCAACUGAGUUAAUGCCCAUCCCUAAAUGUGUGUAACAUGGGCGAAGUGAAUUUUUUCUUUCUCUGUCAUGCUCACUUCCCACUUACCUGCUAGAGUAAGAGUAUACUAGCAUAUUAUUUAGACAUCUAGUUUUUAAUAAUAUUCAUUUUCAUACAACAUGACCACAAAGAAGAAACUGUUAUAUCUUAUAAUGGAAGAAAAUCUGACUGUGGAGAAGUUACUGAGAAAUGGUACAUCUGCAUUAUGCUUUAUGGGUGAUUUAAAGGAUUUUCAAAUAUUAUUUUGACUACAGGUAAAAUAACUGUAUAAUUUAUCAUACAAAUUUGAAAGCAUUUGAGUCAGACAGGAUAUUAAUGAUAAUUAGGCUGAAAUGACAGGCAUAAAUGAAGAGCCUUCUGGUAAAUUAAAAUGUAG